CUCUUUCUGUCUGUUUCUCUCUGUCUCUGUCUGUCCAUCUCUGUCUUUACCUGUCUCUUUCUCUGUCUGCCUGUCUGUCUGUCUCUUUCUUUCUCUCUCUCUCUGCCUGUCUCACGGUGUCUGUCUUCUGUCUAACUCUCUUUCUCUGCUUGUCUCUCUCUCUCCCUCCCUCUCUGUUUCUCUCUCUCUGUCUCUCUCUUUCUGUCUGUUUCUCUCUGUCUCUGUCUGCCCAUCUCUGUCUUUAUCUGUCUCUUUCUCUGUCUGCCUGUCUGUCUGUCUCUUUCUUUCUCUCUCUCUCUGCCUGUCUCACGGUGUCUGUCUUCUGUCUAACUCUCUUUCUCUGCCUGUCUCUCUCUCUCUCCCUCCCUCUCUGUUUCUCUCUCUCUGUCUCUCUCUUUCUGUCUGUUUCUCUCUGUCUCUCUCUGUCCAUCUCUGUUUCUCUCUGUCUCUCUCUGUUUUUCUCUCUCUAUUUCUUUUUCUGAGUCUCUCUGUCUGUCUCUCUCACUGUCUCUCUCUGUCUCUCUCUCUCUGUCUGUCUCUCUCACUGUGUCUGUCUUCUGUCUUACUCCCUUUCUCUGCCUGUCUGCCUGUCUGUCUGUCUGUCUCUCUUUCUGUCUGUCUCUCUUUCUGUUUCUCUCUGUCUCUGUCCAUCUCUGUCUUUCUCUGUCUGUGUCUUUAUCUGUCUGUCUCUCUCUCUCUUUCUGUCUUUCUCUCUUUGUGUAUCUUUGUGUCUCUCUGUCUGUCUCUCUCUGUCUCUGUCUUUGUCUCUCUCUCUCUCUCUCGCCCGCUCUCUGGCUCUCGCUAUCUCCCGCCCUCUCUUUCUUUGCAAAAUAAGUUCAAGUACAUCUAAUCUAAUCCAUUACCAUGGCCUGAAUUCUUAACUUUAGACAUCGCAGAUUUGAUGUCCCUACAGAAUGCUGUACAGAACUGGCGAGUUGAUUUCUAGACUUGGAUACCUCAUAGAUACUACAUAUUAAUAAAGAUCCAACCCUAAAAUCUGGGGUUGCAUCUCCCUCGACUGUCUCAAAAAAUCAUACCUCUGUUCACC
rnacentral:lncRNA from 1 species